rnacentral:rRNA from 1 species
CCUACGGGUGGCAGCAGUGGGGAAUAUUGCACAAUGGGCGCAAGCCUGAUGCAGCCAUGCCGCGUGUGUGAAGAAGGCCUUCGGGUUGUAAAGCACUUUCAGCGGGGAGGAAGGCGGUGAGGUUAAUAACCUCAUCGAUUGACGUUACCCGCAGAAGAAGCACCGGCUAACUCCGUGCCAGCAGCCGCGGUAAUACGGAGGGUGCAAGCGUUAAUCGGAAUUACUGGGCGUAAAGCGCACGCAGGCGGUCUGUCAAGUCGGAUGUGAAAUCCCCGGGCUCAACCUGGGAACUGCAUUCGAAACUGGCAGGCUAGAGUCUGGUAGAGGGGGGUAGAAUUCCAGGUGUAGCGGUGAAAGGCGUAGAGAUCUGGAGGAAUACCGGUGGCGAAGGCGGCCCCCUGGACAAAGACUGACGCUCAGGUGCGAAAGCGUGGGGAGCAAACAGGAUUAGAUACCCUAGUAGUC